UCAGGAUGAACGCUAGCUACAGGCUUAACACAUGCAAGUCGAGGGGCAGCAUGGUCUUAGCUUGCUAAGGCUGAUGGCGACCGGCGCACGGGUGAGUAACGCGUAUCCAACCUCCCCUUAGUAGGGCAUAGCCCGGCGAAAGUCGGAUUAACACCCUAUGUUUUCCGUUGCGGGCAUCUAAUAUGGAACAAAGAUUUAUCGCUAAGGGAUGGGGAUGCGUCUGAUUAGGUAGUAGGCGGGGUAACGGCCCACCUAGCCCUCGAUCAGUAGGGGUUCUGAGAGGAAGGUCCCCCACAUUGGAACUGAGACACGGUCCAAACUCCUACGGGAGGCAGCAGUGAGGAAUAUUGGUCAAUGGCCGAGAGGCUGAACCAGCCAAGUAGCGUGCAGGAACCGACGGCCCUAUGGGUUGUAAACUGCUUUUAUGCGGGGAUAAAGUCGCCCACGUGUGGGUGUCUGCAGGUACCGCAUGAAUAAGGACCGGCUAAUUCCGUGCCAGCAGCAGC
rnacentral:rRNA from 1 species